CCCUGAAGAAAGUUGUAUCAUAUUGGAGGAAAAUAUGCAUCUAUAAAAGGAGAAAAAUUCUGUUUUAAAAUAUGUGCCAGCCAUUGCACAGAGGUCCAGAGCAAUGCCUACAAAUUUCACAGACUUCUGAAAUGAACUUCUGAACUGAUAAUUCUGCUAGACUGUUUUGCUUCCUCUAUUUCAUAUAGUUAGAUACCAAUCAUACAUAUGGGAAUGGAAAGGGAAGAGAUAUAUACCGCUGUGUUUUGAGUCCAGAUACACAGUUUAUAAUUCAAAUCAAGCUAAAAUAAUUCCAUAAUAUGGGAAAGAAAAAGAAAACAACUACAGAUGAGAACUGAGAUCUUUAAGUAAGUAAGUAAAUAAAACUUAUAACCCUUCACCCCUACCAAAAUCUCUAAGACUGUGUCUUCUUAGUUGUUCUUUUGGUAGGAAAAGUAGUCUUUGGUAGUAUUAAUCCAACUAUGUUGAAAUUAAGUAUAUUGCAUUGUAGACAUUGUCAUAGAUCUUUAUUGUUGUCUUCUAAAUAUGAAAGUAAAACCUCUUGAAAAAUAAUGUAUACAAGGGCUGCUCUGAAAGUAACCUACUUUGUUAUGUUGGCUCAUAAUGCCAGAGGCAAAUGUUGGUGAUAUGGCAGUAGGGGUUGAUUUUUUCUGGCAAUAUUCCAUUAUAUUUUGUUGCUGUGCAACAGGUGGCAGCAGAGGGAUAGUCUGACAAAAUUGUUUCUGACAUGGAAGUGCAUAUGAAGCAAAGGUGUGUAAUUGAAUUCCUUUGUGUGGAAAAAAAAAAAAUGCACCUACUGACAGUGAUCAAUACUUGCUGAAUGUUUAUGGAAACUAAACAGUGAAUGUGAGCACAGUGAGAUGGUGGGUGGUAUGCUUCAGCAAGGGCAUCAUCCUAGCAGCUGUGAAACAGUGGGCUGCUUCCAUCAAUGCAGAUUUUCACUAGAGUGGCAUGCAGGCUUUUGCUCACUGC